UACGGAGGGUGCGAGCGUUAAUCGGAAUUACUGGGCGUAAAGCGUGCGUAGGCGGUUAUUUAAGUCGGGUGUGAAAGCCCCGGGCUCAACCUGGGAAUUGCAUUCGAGACUGAAUAGCUAGGGUACGGUAGAGGGAAGUGGAAUUUCCGGUGUAGCGGUGAAAUGCGUAGAUAUCGGAAGGAACAUCAGUGGCGAAAGCGACUUCCUGGACCAGUACCGACGUUCAGGCACGAAAGCGUGGGGAGCAAACAGG
rnacentral:rRNA from 1 species